GGCGAGGAGCAGAGCAGGAAAGGUAAAAGAAGGCCGGGAGGAGAGGAAGCUCGGCUCCUUGGAGGGGUCCGCUGUUCGCGCAAAAGCAGGUUCUGGUCUUCGAUCCCACUUUGCUCUUCCGUCCGUAAGUCGCCGUUCUAGCCGCGGGCACGGCGUGAGCUACGGGCGCGCGCCGAAGCUGAGCUUCUGCACGCGGAGCUGCACUGACGGCGUGACCCUUCUGCUACGCGGAGAUUGUCCGGGUUUGCUUUGCAACUCGUUUUCCCUCCACGGUGCUUUUUCACCGGGGGAAGCGCAAGCUCGCAGAAAUAAACCGCUCUGGUGACAAAGCUGAAA